UCAUGAAGGUCAUGUUAACGGACUGAUAUUAUCGCACAGAACAGAAGCUCUCAUAAACCUUGUGUUAAACUCUGACCUUAUUUUUGGCAUUUAUCCCAAAACACUGCUUUUCGCUUUAAUUUUCCCCAUAGGAGUGGUUGAAUGAACCAGAGACAACUCAUUUCCGUUUUUUAGGACUACAACUGGCGAGAUGGUAAAUUGAUACACAUUAUUGCAGCGCAAAAUUACCUGUUGGAAACAAUUCUGAUAAUAACAAGAAUUUGUAAUAUGUCUUGGUAACAACCUUAAUAUGGUGUUUUAGUUUGUCAUCACUUAAUUGGGCGAGAGUUAUACAUAUGGAGCCAGUUGACAGCUUUUUCUGUUUGGUAUGUCUGACGUCACACGGAGCCAAGAACUACGCGGGCACAACUGUGAGCUCCAAAUACGUUCACUUUUGAAAUGGGAUGCAAGCAGGUCAAGCAAGACAGUUAAUUCUAGCGAUUCAGUGAACCGUUCAUUUCCCACCGGUUUUAUUUUCUGUCUACAGAGGAAAGUAAAUUAAUAGGAUAUCUAUCUAAAUGUUUUCCUGGUGGAGGAAAUACACAGUAAGAACUGAGAGCUGGCCUGGCCAUGGUGGAAGACCCCGGCUGUUCACACCAGAACAGGAGACUGCUAUUGUGAAUAUGGUGGUGGCAAACAAAACCAUUAGAUAAUGAGAAAUCCAGAACCACAUAAUUGCAGACAACACAACAUUCAAUAACAUUCACCAGAGAGUCUUGGAGCUGGAUGCCGCUGCAAUUCAGCACAUUUAUAUUUACAUUGAUGAGGCUGGCUUCAACCUAGCCAAAAGAAGGGUACGGGGACGGAACAUUAUUGGCCACCGUGCCAUUGUGAAUGUCCCUGGACGGCAUGGAGGGAAUAUCACCAUGUGCGCAGCCGUUAGCCUUCAAGGCAUCCUCCAUCACCAUGCCAACCUUGGUCCCUACAACACCGCCCUUCUCAUCACAUUCCUGGACACAUUACAUGGCAUCCUCAUUCCAGCCGAGCAGAGGGGUGGACCAGAGCAGCCCAGGUAUGUUGUCAUCUGGGACAACGUGAGUUUCCACCGGGCUGCUCUGGUCCGCAGCUGGUUCAUCGACCACCCACAAUUUAUUGUUCUCUACCUCCCACCAUAUUCCCCAUUCCUAAACCCAAUUGAAGAGUUUCUUCGGCAUGGCGAUGGAAGGUGUAUGACCGCUAUCCCCUCGCACACAUGCCUCUUCUCCAGGCAAUGGAGGAUGCACGCGGUGAAGUUGAUGUGGGGGCUUUCGGCGGCUGUAUCCGUCACUCUAAAAGAUUCUUUCCCCGCUGUUUAGCCAGAGAGAACAUCGCUUGUGAUGUAGAUGAGGUGCUGUGGCCAGACCAAAAUAGGAGGCAGGAUGCAGCCUCAUGUCUUUUUUCUUACAUUUUUCAUGUGUUUUUGUCUUUUUGUGGUUAGAGUUUUGAAAGAAUGAGACACUUUCAUUUUUAUAUUUGUACAGAAAAACCUUUAUCUUACUGAAUGUUUUUCCUGGUUUUCUCCUGUUGGGUAUGGAAAGUAUUACAUACCAAAAACACAAGUGUUCAAAAUACCUCAUUUUGGAAAUAAAUGACAAUGUUUUUGUUGCUGUAUUGCAUUUGUGUGUGUUUAUGCAUGUAUAUUUGAGUAGGUAUACAUUACUGUAACAAUAUUUUACAACCAGCUACAGUGUAACACUGAAAAUGCAAAAGGCAUAAACCUACUCAUGGGCUAUUCAUAGUAGUGUUUUGUGUUGAGCACAUCAGUGUGUUGUUGGUUGGUAGACAGCUCUAUUCAUAUGAUGCGUGUGUGUCAUUUUGAUGCAAAAAAAAACAUUUUGGAAAGAGAACAGUUUUGACUCCAGUGUUAGCUUUUGCUAGAGAUUUGUAGAGUUUUGCAUUUUGUGGUUUUGUGUUUAGAGUUUUGGGAAAAUGGGCCAAAGAUUCAGCAAAAGUGUGGAAACAAUUGUGGAAAACUGUAAGAAGGAAAGAAAUUCCACUAUUUUACUUUUAACAAGGCACACCUGUUAAUUGAAAUGCAUUCCAGGUGACUUCCUCAUGAAGCUGGUUUAAAUAAUGC